GAUGAACGCUGGCGGCGUGCUUAAUACAUGCAAGUCGAACGGAGACGUUAUAGCAAUAUGAUGUCUUAGUGGCGAACGGGUGAGUAACGCGUUGGUGACCUGCCCCGAAGAGGGGGAUAACAGCUCGAAAGGGCUGCUAAUACCCCAUGUGGUCGCGAAGGUUAGAGGCUUUGCGAUUAAAGGAGCAAUCCGCUUUGGGAGGGGCCUGCGUCCCAUCAGCUAGUUGGUAGGGUAAAAGCCUACCAAGGCGACGACGGGUAGGGGGCCUGAGAGGGUGACCCCCCACACUGGCACUGAAACACGGGCCAGAAACCUACGGGUGGCAGCAGUAGGGAAUAUUGCACAAUGGGCGAAAGCCUGAUGCAGCAACGCCGCGUGCGCGAUGAAGGCCUUCGGGUCGUAAAGCGCUUUUCUAGGAGAUGAGAAAGGACAGUAUCCUUGGAAUAAGGAUCGGCUAACUACGUGCCAGCAGCCGCCGUAACAC
rnacentral:rRNA from 1 species